rnacentral:rRNA from 1 species
GAUGAACGCUAGCGGCAGGCCUAACACAUGCAAGUCGAGGGGCAUCGCGGUGCAGCAAUGCACUGGCGGCGACCGGCGUACGGGUGCGUAACGCGUAUGCAACCUGCCCCGCACCGGGGGAUAGCCCGCCGAAAGGCGGAUUAAUACCCCAUGGUCCCGGGGGCCCGCAUGGGCAUCCGGGUAAAGCCUUGGCGGUGCGGGAUGGGCAUGCGUGCCAUUAGCUGGCUGGUGGGGUAACGGCCCACCAGGGCAACGAUGGCUAGGGGGUCUGAGAGGAUGGUCCCCCACACUGGUACUGAGACACGGACCAGACUCCUACGGGAGGCAGCAGUGAGGAAUAUUGGUCAAUGGGCGGAAGCCUGAACCAGCCAUGCCGCGUGCGGGAUGAAGGCCCUACGGGUUGUAAACCGCUUUUCCCCGGGAAGAAUAACCCCGAUGAGUCGGGGAUGCCGGUACCGGGGAAUAGGAUCGGCUAACUCCGUGCCGAGCAGCCGCGGUAAUCUGUAGUCGU